AAUGUGGUAUUUGCUUUGCUUCAGUCCAGUUCUCUACUGACCUAUUGACCUUCAUUCGCACAGGUCUGGGACGUGGCAGCGGCUCAGGGGAGUCCAUGAUCUCCUGCACCAGCGGAGCAGUGACCUUCCGGCGAGGCAGGAAGAUGUCGGCCUGGUAACGGGACACACGACUCUCCAGCCCCACCAGGUCAAACAUGGACAGGUCACACCGCUACAGAUGAAAUGAGACAGGAGUUAAAAGGGCUCAAUUAACUCGGAACAGUGGGAGAAAAAUCAAUGAAUAUAAUAAUAAAAACACGAACUAUUUUAAACAUAAUUUCUCAGACACCCAGAGAGACCAUACCUCAAAGGGUGACAUCUCCACGGCUUCCUGUACGAUGGAGGCGGUGCUGAAGAUGAUGGGCUUGGUGAUGAAGGGCGACUGGAUGGGCCGAGGGUCAAACAGGUUGGGGUGGUUGCACACCUUCCUCAGCUGCAUCAGAAUGUUGAUCACAGACAUGAAGUGACCGCUUGCCAGAGUCUCUCUCGUCCUGAACACCAGAGAGAGAGACAAAGAGAGGCCAAGUGAGGAAUAAUGGAGGCCAAUGAAAACAGAUUACACUGAAGCACGACACUAAACCAACAGAGGGGCCCAUGUUUAGAUUAGGCACGCAACCCCUGACAUGCAUGCAUCUGAAAGCACACUCACGAGGCCUGGGCCAUGAAGUCGUCGUAGAGGAAGCGCUGUCUCAUGGAGAGACGGCAGCGCACCACGUGCUCGUACUUCUUGGGCAUCUGCUUCUCCACGUCCACCUUGACACGGCGCAGCAGGAAGGGCCUGAGCACCUACAGGGGGAGGAGAGAACAUGCGUCAGCAAUCAAUGGACAUAACUGGCAACAAUGAUUUGUUUGAGAGCAUUUAAUAUUAAACUAUUGCAUCUUUUAUUGUUAAAUGUCAUUCUAUUGUGUAGACAUAAUUAAUUAAUGUCAACCUCAGUCCAUUUGGUCAAAAUCACUCAGCACCCAGUCUGACAUGACAUAUGACAGGAUUUACAAGUCACAGUCACUUUGUGUUUCCAAUGCCACCUCACCUUGUGAAGUCUCUUGACCAGGCCCUCGUUGUACUCCUGGCUGCCCUCGAUCAUGCCAGUCAGCGGGUUGGAGAACCACUCCUUGAACUCGCGGUGGGACUGGAAGACGUGCGGCAUGAGGAAAUGCAUGAGCGACCACAACUCCAUCAGGCUGUUCUGCAGGGGCGUUCCUGUCAGGAGCAGGCGUCGGUGGCUGCAGGGGGAGAGGGAACAACAUCUUUUUUUACAAAUACUUAAAUUUUGUACUCUAUGCUUAGUAAGAAGGGAGGCAAACAGAUCUGCCUGACAUCAUCUAAGCCGCAUCCAGUUCGCAAAGUACGCAAGUGAGGAAAAUGCACGGUCAAAGUAAUUGGGCCUCUAACCAAUACCAAGCUUUACCUAUUGAAGUUGAGCAGACUCUGCCAGCGCUGUGACUUGAAGUUUUUGAUGUUCUGGGCCUCGUCCAAGAUCAGGUACCGCCAGGACUUGCGCCUGAAUGCCUGAUGGUCCUGCAGCACCAGCUUAUAAGAGGUGAUACAUACAUGGAAAGCAUUUGGCUUGGUCCAACCCUAUAAGAGACGGGGCAAAUCAGGGUAGGAUAAUUGAGGAUAAAGCUUAGAUUCAAUGACAAGAAUUUAUGGGUUUUCUUCUGUAUCCGUAGUACUAAACAGAUAUUUUAUUCAGAUUUACGUGGUUUAAAGACCUUAUUUUUGCCUCUGUGUUUGUCUGUUUGUUGUUAGACAUCCAGUGACAAAAAAAAGCCAUCCAUAUUUUAGUCAUGAUGCUGUACCUGUCUCUUGAGUUUGCGCUCUUUCUGGCUGCCGUAGUAGGUGAGGAUCUUGAACCCAGGACACCAGCGUUUGAGCUCCAUUUCCCAGUUCAGCAUCACACUGGUGGGCACAAUGAUUAAAUGGGGUCCCCAGUUUCCUGUAAAAUCUUUCUCACAAGCAAGGUGAGCCAGCAGUGCGAUGGUCUGGAUGGUUUUGCCGAGGCCCAUUUCAUCUGCCAGGAUGCCGUUAAGCUUCUUCUCAUACAUGGUGACCAGCCAGUCAAGCCCAAUGUGUUGGUACUCGCGCAGCGUGCCAUGCAGCAAAAAGGGGAUGGGAGUUUUCACCUGAAGACAAAAGCGCUCGUCAGUGAGACUACUCAUUUCUCAGUGAGACUACUCAUUUCCCAGAAAGAAGCCAAGAACCCAACACCUACUACCACUUGUGUGUACAAGUGCAACAGCUACUAUGGCUAUUAUGAUGGUGCUGGUGGUGUAAUCUCCGAGUGCUUACCUUAGUGGUGGCCAGUGUGUAUCCUUUUGGCUGGAGGCUCUCCGCUGUGGCAGCAAUGUGGCUGAUCUCCUUCUUGGGCCGGGGAGAGGUGGGCAGCGGAGGGCUGUGGUCGCCCUCCUUCAGCAGAGCCUCCAUACCCUCUUCAGGAUCAUCGUCAUCUUCAUCGCCGUCGUCAUCAGCUACCUCUUCCUCUUCAUCCUCCUCCUCUAUGACCUCGUCAUCUGUGUUAACUGCUUCUGAGGAGGCUGAAGGUAUGAGGGCAGAGGGGGAAGAACACAUUCUUCAUUCUCUGAAUGGCAAAGUUGAAAGGAGCCUAAAAAUAGCCCAUUCGAGGCGCCCUCAAGUACCUGAAGAGCUGUUGGUCUCGUCAUCGCUGUCAUCACCCUCGCUCUCUUCCUCCUCCUCUUCCUCCGUGCUCUCCUCCUCCUCAGAGGUGCCGGGCGACGCAGAUGCAGAGGGCUCCUCAAAAUCAGAGGCAUAUGCCCCCUUAUACUUCUCCAGCAGAUCCUCCAUGCUCAUCUCGCCUGGGAAUGGGCAUACCAUUGGUUACAAACGGUUACUAAGCGGUUACCAUAUUUUCAGCUUUUUAUAGACACAACGAAUACAAUCUCUGAUAUGAUCAGGUGAUAUUAAGGUUUAUUAGCAAUACAUAGGAUGUCUUGAAUGAUUUUUUCCGUCUCCAUUCUAAAUGGAAGUUUAGCUUAAUUCACUUAUUACACGUCUUGUCCAAAAUGAUGAACCAAAAUGUCCAAGUUCCAACUAGCAUGGUUAAGAACAGAAAAAAAUUAAAUAAAAUGUGAGCGUUAAAGUUACCUUCUUUGGUUAGGUCGUCCAACUCUUCAUCAUGGUUGCCAUCACCUUCAACUGCUUCCUGUGCUUCUAUCGUCUCCUCUUCGUCUUCAGCUGAAGGAAAUAUGAACACAAAAGUUACAUAAGAAAAUCAUUAUGCUGGUUCCAAGGAAAGUACAUUUUCAUUAGCUCAGUGUUUUGACUAGUAACGGGUUACUAAAACUGGUAAAAAGUUUCUUCAGAAUCUCUUACCAUCUUCCUCAUUGGCUGUGAACUCCCCGUCUUCAUCCUCAACCACAGAUGAGGAGCUGUCUGAGCACUCGUCGUCUGAAGCAGAGGGCUGUGGAGAGGAAACAACGUGAAUAUUUCACGGCAUCACUUCAUCUUACUGAGCUUCAAUCAAACAAUAAAAUAUGGACGCCACAGCAGAAGCUAAAAAUAGGAUUCUUGUCAGAUUGUGUUGUUGAUUAACACCAAACACUUUAGCAAUAACUGGCAUUGCUAAACAAGAUGUUGAGGAAGGUUGUUCCUUAUAAACUUCUCAGACAUGGGAUUGUCUGGAAACCAUUCGACUAAAACCCAAACAAACUAGAUACUCGACUAAACAGACCUAAAAAUAGCCUGAAUUGAAAAAAAAAAACCUAUUGUGUGAGGAAUGCUCCUGUUCUAAAACAAGGCCUACUUGAUAUGGCACAGUGUGUUUGAGCUGAUUGCAAGGAUCUUAAAGAAUGAGAGUGGUGCCUCAACAACCUUCGCCAAGACCUUUUAUCUAUCAAGGAAAAUCUGGACAAUGUCAGAGAGGGAGAACUGAGGCAUUCCUCAUUGCCUUGAUCACACACUGAGCUGGUUGUACCAUAUAAACAAUUACUGAACAUAAUAUGCUGACUGGCAACUGCCAAAGAUUACAUCAUCCAAAGAGACUCACUAUAGCCUAAAGCAUCCACAUAUCCACAGUUCCCUCUCAAAAGCAACCACCACAUUAUUAACACGGUCAUGUUCAAAUCACUCUAGAUCUACAAUGGCAGCAGGAACCUGAAAUUCUAACUAAAUCUCUGAUGCUGCUGUUGGUGAGAGGGUCUGGCUGUGGCGUACCGGAGGGUAGGAGAUGGUGUUGAGCAGUUGUUCAAGGGGCAGCAAGCCCUCCUCCCUCAGCAGCUCGAUCUCCCGCCUCUGCGACUCAGCGUCAUUCCCCUCCUGCUGCUCUUCCACAUCAAGGGUCUCCUCAUCAUCCUCUUCCUCACACGGUGGCUCAAAGUCAUGGUCUGGCAAAAGGGAGGAAGAGUAAAGGGACUUUUAACCACCAACGCAGGAACAUGGGUUUUUGUGGUUUUGUGUGAUGUCAAGGCAAAUGACAGAAAUGUUUUUCAUUGAAUUGAAAGACGCCAACAAAGCAAGGCACCCACCAUCCUCAUCAGUGACUUGUUGUGUGGAGGGUUUUGGAGGAGAGGUGGGGGUUUCACUGUUGGCGGCAGGCGUAGCCGCCAGCGAUUGGCUGAGGAGGUCCGAGUAGCGCUCGGUUUGACCCACAAUGAAGUCCAGCUGCAGGUCCAGAGCCUUCUUCCUCUUCUCCUCCAGUCGAGACUGUUGCUUGUACUGGACCACCUGACCAACGAUGAGGAAAGGAGUGAGAACAGGGUUGGGUUGGAUGUGGAGGUUACAGGUAUCAGAUUAAUGGAUUCAACAGAGCCACUCAAUUUUUGGGGAUCUCCCAAGUGAACAAACUGUUAAUGUGUACUACUAAAGAUAGUCACUGUGGGCCAAAUCCAAAAUUAAACAAUGCAAGC
ensembl:lncRNA